rnacentral:rRNA from 1 species
CAUGCAAGUCGAACGCGAAAGCCUGGGCAACUAGGCGAGUAGAGUGGCGCACGGGUGAGUAACACGUGGGUAACCUACCUUCGAGUGGGGAAUAACUCCCCGAAAGGGGAGCUAAUACCGCAUAAGACCACGACCUCUUCGGGGGUCGCGAUCAAAGGUGGCCUCAUCAUGCAGAGUGUUUGGGACGAUCUUCCCGAGCGGAGGAUAGUCCUGAGCGCUUUGCCCAGUGAAGCUGCUGCUCGAAGAGGGGCCCGCGUCCCAUCAGCUAGUUGGUAGGGUAACGGCCUACCAAGGCGACGACGGGUAGCUGGUCUGAGAGGACGACCAGCCACACGGGAAUUGAGAUACGGUCCCGACUCCUACGGGAGGCAGCAGUGGGGAAUCUUGGGCAAUGGGGGAAACCCUGACCCAGCGACGCCGCGUGGGGGAUGAAGGCUUUCGGGUCGUAAACCCCUGUUAGGUGGGACGAAUGUCCUCCUGCAAAUAGUUGGGGGAUUUGACGGUACCACCAGAGAAAGCCCCGGCUAACUCCGUGCCAGCAGCCGCGGUAAUACGGAGGGGGCGAGUGUUGUUCGGAAUUACUGGGCGUAAAGGGCGCGCAGGCGGCUUGGCAAGUCGAGUGUGAAAUCCCUUGGCUUAACUGAGGAAUGGCGCUCGAAACUACCUCGCUGGAGGGCGGGAGAGGGAAGUGGAACUCUCGGUGUAGGGGUGAAAUCUGUAGAUAUCGAGAGGAACACCGGUGGCGAAGGCGGCUUCCUGGCCCGUACCUGACGCUGAGGCGCGAAAGCGUGGGGAGCAAACAGGAUUAGAUACCCUGGUAGUCCACGCCCUAAACGAUGGGCACUAGGUGUGGGCGGUAUUAAUCCCGCCUGUGCCGUAGCUAACGCAUUAAGUGCCCCGCCUGGGGAGUACGGUCGCAAGGCUGAAACUC